rnacentral:rRNA from 1 species
CCUACGGGGGGCAGCAGUAGGGAAUUUUCCGCAAUGGGCGCAAGCCUGACGGAGCAACGCCGCGUGAGGGAUGAAGGUUUUCGGAUCGUAAACCUCUGUCUUCAGGGACGAUAAUGACGGUACCUGAGGAGGAAGCCACGGCUAACUACGUGCCAGCAGCCGCGGUAAUACGUAGGUGGCGAGCGUUGUCCGGAAUUACUGGGCGUAAAGGGCGUGUAGGCGGCCUUUUAAGUCA